AAGUAGGAUUAAUAGCAUCUAUCUUAAAGAAAAGCGUUAAAGCUUCUUUCUUUAAUAAGUGGAAAAUAUAAGAAGUGUAGUUCGAAAUUAUUAGUAUAAUAUUAUUGAGAAUUUGUAUAUUAAUUACAAGAUAUAAUGCUUAAAUUAGUAAAGAUGGAAUAAUCUGUUAUGUAUUAAAUCAAUCCUAACAAGAGGAAGGAAAAAUAUAGACUUAACGAGAAUUAUAUUUUUAUAAUAUUGUUUUCCAACUCAGGAGAUUGCUCUAGAAGAAAAAUAAGAAAAAGGAACUCGGCAAAUAUUGGCUUCGCCUGUUUACCAAAAACAUCGCUCUUUGUAAAAUUAUUAAUAUAUAAAGAGUCCUGCCUGCCCAGUGACGUUGUUAAACGGCCGCGGUAUCUUGACCGUGCAAAGGUAGCAUAAUCAUUUGCCCUUUAAAUGGGGGCUGGUAUGAAUGGCAAGACGGAGGCUAAGCUGUCUCUUUCUUAUAUCUUGAAUUUAAUAUUUUUGUGAAGAAGCAGAAAUAUGUCCGCAGGACGAGAAGACCCUAUCGAGCUUAAGCACAAAAGGUAUUAACAAAUUUGUAGGGCUUUGUUCCUAAUUUAAUUAAGAUUUAAUUGUUACAAGAUUAAUUACUUUAGCCCAAAAAUGUUAAGUGCAGCUGUUUUGAUUGGGGCAAUCGUGGAGAAGAAAAUCCUCCAUUAGAAAAUAAAAAAAACUACAGUUUUGUUGGUUAAAUUAAGUGAUCCGCCGUAUGGCGAGCAAAGGAAUAAGUUACCGUAGGGAUAACAGCGUAAUUUUUUUGGAGAGUUCAUAUUGAUAAAAAAGUUUGCGACCUCGAUGUUGGAUCGGGAUUUCCUGGGGAUGCAGCAGUUCCCAAGGGUUGGUCUGUUCGACCAUUAAAAUCCUACGUGAUCUGAGUUCAGACCGGCGUGAGCCAGGUCAGUUUCUAUCCACGGAGAUAGUACUUUUUUUAGUACGAAAGGACCAAAAAAGUAGCACCAAUAUUUAAAAAUAAGUGCUCAAAAAACUUUUGAAAAAAAAAAUGAAAAUUUUACAAAAAAUUUUUAAGAAAUU
rnacentral:rRNA from 1 species